ensembl:snRNA U6 U6 spliceosomal RNA
UUGCUUUGGCAGCAAAUUGGAACAAUACAGAGAAGAUUAGCAUGGUGCCUGUGCAAGGGUGACGUGCAAAUUCAUGAAGCAUUCCAUAUUUUU